CCGCCCUGAAAAGUUGUGCGCAGGCUCGAGGCGCCUCGGUUGAACUGAGUCUGCGCGAAGUCGAACUGCACACGCGCAGUGUUUAAACCCGGAACUGGUGGUGUCUUUUCCUCUGCAUGGAUUAACCCACAAUGACAGUUAGACUGCAGCAGUUCAAGAAGCUCAUCCCCACCUUUUGAAUUUGGCAACUAGGAAUGAGCAAUAAAUGCUGGCCCAGCCAGCGAUGCCCGAUUCCCAUGACUGAAAAAAACAGAGACAAACUCAAUUGGGAAUUGUAAUUUAUUGUUCUUGAUGUCAUGGAAGGCACUGCUUGAGUUCUGAUGGGAUGCUCUGAGGCUUCUUAUUGUCAUCUAUGUCAUUCAGGGCCUGGGAACAUUCCACCUGCUUCUUGUCUUCAGUUCAGUUUACUGGAACAGAAACUCCCUUAACAGUAUUUCUGACACAGAUAUAACUGUAAUUAAUAAACUGUGGUUCGUGUUCUUUCUCUGUGCCCCCCAGGCUACGUGCUGCUUCCUUCUCAGAACUUUGUGCUGAGAAACUUGCCCUCGCUCUCAGUACAAACCAGUCACUGAUGGAGUUGUCCAUCUCACUCAACAUCUUAACCAACAAUCCUGUACCCUCAUUGCUCCACUGGGUACAAACUGCAGCGUCUGGAAUAAAUCAAAUUGUGGCGAAAUGAAUUCAUUCCAAUUGGGGAAAGAAGAGAAUCCUGAAGUCGCUCCGAUCCAGACUGAGGGGGGCUGUGAGAAUCUUGGAAGUUAUAAGCAUCACUGCUGUCAUCAUAUUUUGCUGAUUCUGCACCCACCCCUACUUCUUACAACCGUCUGUACUGAAGGUUGAAAUUCUAUUGAAGAUUUUCCAGUCGAGGAGGGUGUUCUCUCAUUGUGAGGUCAGAGGCCCAGACCUUCAGAGAUACGGCCUCACAGUGUGGUUUCUACAGGAUAUCUCUGCCUCAAUGUUUCUUGCUGGAGACACGCACAGGCAUGAAGGAGCCAGAAUGGGACUCUGUCUCGGCUGAAAUGAAACACUAACAAUUACACUCCAUAUUCGUAGGCCUGUGGGGUACGUUACUCCAGGUUCCUGCUCACUACCGUACCCAGUAAGCCUACUGGAAGGUGAAUCUGUGUUGGAGUGAAAGGGGACUGUGCCUCUCAGCUGAGAGGGAAUCCUCUGCCAAUAACAUCCACUCUCGGGAUUCACUCAGUGACAGCUCUUUUUUGGAUAUUCCUGG